UACAGAGGUCUCAAGCGUUGUUCGGAUUCAUUGGGCGUAAAGGGUGCGUAGGUGGCGCGCUAAGUCAGGUGUGAAAUUUCGGAGCUUAACUCCGAAACUGCAUUUGAUACUGGCGUGCUUGAGGACUGGAGAGGAGACUGGAAUUCACGGUGUAGCAGUGAAAUGCGUAGAUAUCGUGAGGAAGACCAGUGGCGAAGGCGGGUCGUCUGGACAGUUCCUGACACUGAGGCACGGAAGGCCAGGGGAGCAAACCGGG
rnacentral:rRNA from 1 species